AUCGCUUCGAUAAUGUUGAUUUUGCUUUGAUUUUGUUCAAUAAAAUGAUUGAAAAGUACCCAAAGCCUUCAAUUGUGGAAUUUAAUAAAUUAUUAGCACCCAUUGCUAGAAUGAAACAUUGUGCCAUUGUUGUUUCUAUGUGUAGCCAGAUGGAAUUAUUGGGAGUUUCCCACGAUGUUUAUUCUUUGAGCAUCUUGAUUAAUUGCUUUUUUCAAUUAGGUCGAAUUGAUUUUGGUUUUUCUGUUUUGGGGAAAAUGCUGAAGUUAGGUGUUGAACCUAGUGUUGUAACUUUUUCAACUUUGAUAAAUGGGCUUUGUAAUCAAAGCAAGAUAUCUGAGGCUGUUAGUAUAUUUGAUGAAAUGGCUGAAAGAGGGUAUCAACCUAAUUUGAUUGUUUACAAUACAAUGCUUAAGGGGUUUUGUUAGACCGGCAAUACUGAUAGAGCUGUUAGGUUUCUAAGACUGAUGGAAGGCAGCGAUUACGAACCCAAUAUUAUAGCAUAUAACACUGUCAUUGACUGCCUUUGUAAGGACGGUUUGUUACAGGAGGCUCUCAGUCUCUUAUCUGAAAUGAAGGUUAAGGGCAUUAGACCAGAUAUCUUUACUUACAAUUGCUUAAUUCAUGGUAUGUGUAAUUCAGGCCAGCAGGAGGAGGCAACAAGGCUCUUGAUGAAAUGGUGGAUGAUAAUAUUUCACUUGAUAUUGUCACAUAUAAUUUAUUGAUUGAUGCUCUUUGCAAGGAAGGAACGAUUUCUAAAGCUGUAGAGACCGUUGACAUGAUGAGAAAGCAAGGCAUUGAGCUAAUGUUGUCACGUAUAGUACAUUGGUUGAUGCGCAUUGCAAGGAAGGGAUGGUCUCUGAAGCUGAGGAUUUUGUUGGCGCAAUGAUAAAGCGAGGCAUUGAGCUUGAUGUUGCUACCCAUAAUGCAUUAAUCAACGGCCAUUGCCUGCAGAAUGAAAUGGAUAAAGCUAGAAGAGUUUUCAACUUGAUGAUUAAGAAGGGUUCUGCACCUGAUAUAGUUACCUACAACACCAUGAUCAAUGGAUAUUGCAAAGCGAAGAGGUUAGACGAAGCAAUGGAACUCUUUCACGAAAUAUCUCAAAAGGGACCAAUCCCGAAUACUGUCACAUACAGCACUCUUGUGCAAAGUAUGUUUCAGUUAGGGAAAGUUUCAACUGCUUGUGAACUUUUUAGAAAGAUGCUUGCUUCUGGACAAGUUCCAGAUAUAGUGACCUGUAACUUUUUGCUAGAUGGUUUAUGUAAAACAGGUCAUAUCGAAGAGGCAUUGGAACUUUUUCAAGUGAUGCGAAACAGUGGAUUGGGACUUGAUAUUGUCCCAUAUAUUAUCCUAAUUGAUGGUUUGUGCAAAGCUGAGCAAAUCGAAGUUGCGAAGGAAUUAUUUCAUCAACUCUCAGACAAUGGUUUAAAACCAAAUGUUUACACAUAUUGUGUAAUGAUUAAUGGACUAUGUAAAGAGGGAUUGCCAGAUGAAGCAUACAGGUUGUUUGGGAGAAUGGGAGAUAAUGACUGUUUGCCUAAUAGCUGCUGUUAUAAUGUAAUGAUUCGGGGGUUCCUUCGCAAUAGUUAUACCUCAAAAGCAACACAACUUCUUACGGAAAUGGUUGGGAAGGGCUUUUCUGCAGAUAUAUUCACUGCCACCUUAUUUAUGGAUCUCAUUGUACACUCUAAUAAAUCAAUUUUACUCUGAAAUGUUUCAUAAAUUGUGUAAAGAUCAUCACUUGCAAUGUGGAUCAGUUCGUAACUAUUGCACAGUGAUAAUAGAUUCUGGAAACUUGAAUGAGGUUUAGUGUCUAUUUUCAAAUUUGUUGAUUUUGUUUUGAGUUGUGUAGUAAGUGAGAAUCUUGUUGGUGAUAAUGUUAAGAAAUUCGGGGAAAACCAAUAUCUGUUGCAAUGACAAUAGCAUCGGUUUCUACCUGCUCAGGACUUUUAAGAAGCUUUUAACUUCUUAAAAGUGUAGAACUCAAUCAAAUUUAGGGUCUGAUUAAUUGAAAACACAUUUUCCGAAAAUUGAUUUUUGGAAAAUAAUAUGAUUUUUUUUUAUAAAUGUAAUAUAUUCUUUUGUUCUAAUGAUUUUAGGUAAAACAUUCUACAUUAUUUGAUAAUUUUUUUCUCAACUUAUUUUCCGAAAAUUAUUUUAAUGUUUUGAUUAUUUUAUCACAAAAACUGUUGUAAAAUAAAGUAAUCAUUUUCAAUCAAACUUAGAACUUAAUUAGUAGAACUUUAAAUUUAAUAUCUAUCAAUAUAAUUAUUUUUUAUGAGUCAAAAAAAAAAAUCUUGAGUUCAAAUUUUAUUGAAAGCAUUUUUGUAAUCAAUAGAUUCAUAUCGAAUAUUAAUGGAUAUCUCUACAUUUGCAGUAAUGCGGAUUUGGAUAAUAGAUGUCCAAGGAUGUCUAUCUACUAGUAAAUAGUAAUUUUAAUAUCAAAUUUGUCAUCACUAAUCAUAUCUUUGCUAUUUUGUAUAUAUAAUAAAUUUCCUUUACAAGUAAAUAUUUGUAAAAGAAAAAAAAAUAAAAAAAGAUACCUAAAUACAGAUAACUUUGGACGUUCCUUUGUGCUGUAAGACAGGCCACUGAUACAAAUAUAUGUUAUUCUUUGCAUUAUCAUCGAGAAAAGAAUAUAGAGGAACAAAUGUAUCCCAAGCUUUAUAUAUGCCAGAUGGAUCAGCAUUCUGAACAAUCCAUGGAUGGUCAAGUAGCUUAUGUAGUGGGAGGCGCUGGGAAGAAUCUUUGACAAUCAUCUGUAAAUAAUGUUGAAGUGUGUUCAGUAUAUGCCAACGAUGGAGCAUUGUCGUUAUAUUUAUAUAUUUGCAAGUAAUAGAAGCAACUAAAGGUACUUGACUAAUGAGGUCCUUGGCUGAAGAUGAAACUAUUGGUUUUGGAGAGAACUUCAAAUCCACUUGCACAAGCCUAUGAAUGGGGAAAAGAGUGAACAAGUUGUGACAGGUAUCCGAAAGAAGUACCCUAGUGAAAGAGCUAUGAAAAGGAAGCUUAAGUUUCAAUCAUGUUCUUUGUUUCGGAGCUUUAAUCAUGUUCUCUAGUGUCCGCAGGUCGGGUUUACCCUCUAUAAGUGUCUGAAUGUUCUUUGGCCUCAAAAGGGGGCACUCCAUAAAGAAACUCAUAGCACAAACCAGUUAGUUCUAUGGUUUAAUACAUAGUGCAUCGCACGUAGUCCGCCUGCGAUUAAAUGUAUGCACUGACCAUCCAAAAUAUGCAAUCUUUAGUUCACCCUGACAAGGAAUCCAAAUUGACUAGAUAAGCACAAUGAGGCUUUCAUUGAAUAACCAAACGAGUACCAGCCAUGGGUUAGGAAUCAUCUGUGCACCAAUUAACAAGUUCUCAGGUUUGAUAUCUCUCUGUAUGACAUGCUUUCCAUGGCAUUUAAGUGCUCGAGCUGAAAAGGCAACAUACUGCAACAAAUAACAUAAGCAUACAACAUAUAAAUCCAUUGAACACAGUACCAAGAAGAAACUCACGGUAGCAACGCGUCUUUCGCUAAAGCAUUUACAUUUUUGCAGUUUCUUGUAAAGUUAACCUUUGGCUGCAUAUUCCAGAAUCAGAUAAACAGGUUUCUGCAAAAAGGUUGUAUUCAGAAAACCAAAUGUUAAUUCAUAUAUAAUAUUUUCAAUUACAUACAUACAUUGUUGAAUUAUCAAUAUAGGCUUAUACCUGAUCAUAGAAAUAUCCAUAAAGCCUCAAUAUAUUGAGAUGAUGUAGUUGAUGUCCAACUUGAGAUUGUUAUAGUUGGCUUUUAAAAAGAACUUAGAGGGCCACAAUAUGAUUGCUCUACUGCAAAAAUACACAAGGAUCUUGCCACAAAUAGUCAUGUGGUAGUUAAUUGCAUACAAAUAUAACACUUGCAGUUUCUUAUUUGGAAUGUAGGCAAAAAUCUUGAAUUUUGUGAAAUCAACUAAAGUUAUAGGAACUAUAGUUGUCAUAUCUCAUAUGAAUUAUAUUCGAAUCGUAGUAGCUAAUUUUUUUUUUUUUUACAUCAAUGUGUAUUUGGGAAUGCCAUAUACCAUCCUUUUGUUACAUUUUUUUUUUAAGUUAUUGGACUGGAUAUUUUAUUUAUAGUUAACAAAACAAGUAAAAAUAUACAUAAUCCUAAACAGCUGAGUGAUCCAAUUCGGGAAAAACCUAAAAAAUGGUUCAGAUAGUAUCUACAUGAGAUUAAGUUUAUUCCACAUUUCCACUAUUAUUAGACACUUCCUAAACACAUGGUCAAUAGUCUCCGAACCCCCUCUACAUUUGGGGCAUGUUGUGUUUAAUCUAGAUCUUCUGUUAUAGAGAUUAACUAGUGUAGGCAAAAAAUUCCAAGAAAUUUUCCACGUUAUAAUUUUAUGUUUUGUAGUUAAUUUUAAAUUUCACAAUUUCCUGUAAAAGCCUUUAUGGCAUUCUGAAAAUUUGUAUAUUGACUAUCACAACAACCAUCAAGGAGCAGCUUAUAAGCACUCCUCAUCGAGAAAACACCUGAAGGUUCGUCUCUCCCACUAACAUAUCCUCAUCCUCCAAUUUGGAUUCUUAUAUUUUUGUUAGCAACACUCUCCUCAAGGGUAUUCCUUAUCAAACCCACAUUCUAUUUCCUGUGAAAGUUGUCAGUUAAGUCAUAUACAUUUACUAUGUUACUGUCACUGAUGUUUCCAUAAAAUAUGUAAAUUUUAGCCCCUACCAACCAAGCAUCCUCUCAAAUAGAAAUUUGGUUGCCUUUACUAACCUUCUAGCCAAGACCAUCCUGUAGCAGUCCCUUUAUUUCCCAAAUGCUUUGCCAAGUAUAAGAAGGUGAACUUCUUAACUUUGUUUCCAAAAAAUCACAUUGAGAAUGGUGCUUAGAUUUUAAAAUAUUUUUAACAUUUUUAUCCAUGUCAAGCUUGGUAAAAAUUUUAGACCUAUUUUAGAUCAGGCCUAAAAUUUUGGUUGGGCCUAAUCCAAACCCGACCCGACCCAUGAACACCUCUAGUAAUAAUCAUAUUCUUUUAAUUAAUUUUAUUAUUGUAUAAUAAAUUGAUAAAUAAUUUUGUUAAAAUAUUAUAAGAUAAUAAGUGAAUAAUAUAUAUUAAUAUUUUAAUUGAGUAAAAAAUAUAAGAUAUUUAAUAUUGGAAUUUUAUAACAAUAAUUCAAAUAUUAUAUUGAUAUAAAUUGAAUUUUAUUAUUUUCGUUACACAUCGAAUGUCGAUGCAUUAUUUUGUGAUUAAAUUUUCAAUUUUCUGCUACUGCCGCCGCCAUUUCUGCUUUCAUUUUGCUUAGUUUCAAGAUAUGGGUAAGCUUCCUUCUUCUUUUAUUCUUCGUUCAGUUGUUAAUGGUGGAAGCCAUCUUUCUAAUUUCCACUCUUUUUCUUCUUCUUCUAACACCAUUGCUACCCACAUCGAAGCCCUAAGUAAGAAACCCAUGCCUGUAAGAGGAAAGGGAAAAAGAGACCACCGCUUCGAUAAUGUUGAUCAUGCUUUUAUUUUGUUCAAUAAGAUGAUUGAAAAGUACCCAAAGCCUUCAAUUGUGGAAUUUAAUAAAUUAUUAGCACCCAUUGCUAGAAUGAAACAUUAUGCCAUUGUUGUUUCUAUGUAUAGACAGAUCGAAUUAUUGGGAGUUUCCCCCGAUGUUUAUUCUUUGAACAUCUUGAUUAAUUGCUUUUGUCAAUUAGGUCGAAUUGAUUUUGGGUUUUCUGUUUCUGGGAAAUUGCUGAAGUUAGGUGCUGAACCUAGUGCUGUAACUUUUUCAACUUUGAUAAAUGGGCUUUGUAAUCAAAGUAAGAUUUCUGAGGCCGUUUGUAUGUUCGAUGAAAUGACUGAAAGAGGGUAUCAACCUAAUUUGAUUGUUUACAGUAUAAUGCUUAAGGGAUUGUGUAAGACCGGUAAUACUGGUAGAGCUGUUAGGUUUCUAAGGCUGAUGGAAAGCAGAG
rnacentral:lncRNA from 1 species